rnacentral:miRNA from 1 species
UGAGAUCAUAGUGAAAGCUACU